rnacentral:rRNA from 1 species
GACGGAGGGUGCAAGCGUUGUUCGGAUUGACUGGGCGUAAAGGGCGUGUAGGCGGUCGGCCAAGUCUGAUGUGAAAGCCCGAGGCUCAGCCUCGGAAGUGCGUCGGAAACUAGUCGGCUGGAGCGCGAUAGAGGAGGGUGGAAUUCCUGGUGUAGCGGUGAAAUGCGUAGAUAUCAGGAGGAACACCGGUGGCGAAGGCGGGUCACUGGCCCGAUACUGACGCUGAGGCACGAAAGCGUGGGGAGCAAACAGG